rnacentral:rRNA from 1 species
AGUGAACGCUGGCGGUAGGCCUAACACAUGCAAGUCGAACGGCAGCACAGUAAGAGCUUGCUCUUACGGGUGGCGAGUGGCGGACGGGUGAGGAAUACAUCGGAAUCUACUUUUUCGUGGGGGAUAACGUAGGGAAACUUACGCUAAUACCUCAUACGAUCUACGGGUGAAAGCAGGGGAUCUUCGGACCUUGCGCGAUUGAUUGAGCCGGUGUCGGAUUAGCUAGUUGGCGGGGUAAAGGCCCACCAAGGCAACGAUCCGUAGCUGGCCUGAGAGGAUGAUCAGCCACACUGGAACUGAGACACGGUCCAGACUCCUACGGGAGGCAGCAGUGGGGAAUAUUGGACAAUGGGCGAAAGCCUGACCCAGCCAUGCCGCGUGGGUGAAGAAGGCCUUCGGAUUGUAAAGCCCUGUUAUUGGGAAAGAAAAGCAGCAGGUUAAUCCCUCGAUGUUCUGACGGUACCCAAAGAGAAAGCAACGGCUAACUUCGUG